rnacentral:rRNA from 1 species
CAGCAGUGAGGAAGGUGGGUAUGUUAAUAGCAUACUCUAUUUGACGUUAGCUGCAGAAGAAGCACCGGCUAACUCCGUGCCAGCAGCCGCGGUAAUACGGGAGGGUGCGAGUACGUUAAGUACGGUAAUUACGUGGGACGUAAAGCGCAUGCAGGUUGGUUUAGUUAAGUCAGAUGUAGAAACGGCCCGGGGCUACAACCGUACGGUAAUUGCUAUUUAGAAACGUGGACAAACUAGAGUACUGUAGAGGGGGUAGAAUUUCAGGUGUAGCGGUGAAAUGCGUAGAGAUCUGAAGGAAUACCGGUGGCGAAGGCGGCCCCCUGGACAGAUACUGACACUCAGAUGCGAAAGCGUGGGGAGCAAACAGGAUUAUAUACCCUGGUAG